rnacentral:SRP_RNA from 1 species
GCCGGGUAUGGUGACGGGUGCCUGUAAUCCCAGCUACUAGGAGGCUGAGGCAGAAGAAUUGCUUGAACCCGGGAGGUGGACGUUGCAGUGAGCCGAGAUCACACCACUGCACUCCAGCCUGGGCUACUGAGCAAGACUCUGUCUCAA